AGGGAGCUCAUAGCUGGGGGUAUUAUCCAAUGAAGACAUUCGCAUGAUAGAUGAAGUCUUGUCACAGAGUCUGUUAUUUCCUGUAAGGUACUGAGAACACUAUCAUUACGGGCUGAAAGGUGAAAGUACUUAGAUAAGAAAAUAGCAGACAGGGACCCCAAAGAAGUUUAAGCAACCCUGGACUGCAGGAUAUCCUGUCCUGGUUCCAAUCAUCAGAAAAAGGUGUUCUUUA